rnacentral:rRNA from 1 species
GCAAGUCGAGCGGACAGAAGGGAGCUUGCUCCCGGAUGUUAGCGGCGGACGGGUGAGUAACACGUGGGUAACCUGCCUGUAAGACUGGGAUAACUCCGGGAAACCGGAGCUAAUACCGGAUAGUUCCUUGAACCGCAUGGUUCAAGGAUGAAAGACGGUUUCGGCUGUCACUUACAGAUGGACCCGCGGCGCAUUAGCUAGUUGGUGGGGUAAUGGCUCACCAAGGCGACGAUGCGUAGCCGACCUGAGAGGGUGAUCGGCCACACUGGGACUGAGACACGGCCCAGACUCCUACGGGAGGCAGCAGUAGGGAAUCUUCCGCAAUGGACGAAAGUCUGACGGAGCAACGCCGCGUGAGUGAUGAAGGUUUUCGGAUCGUAAAGCUCUGUUGUUAGGGAAGAACAAGUGCGAGAGUAACUGCUCGCACCUUGACGGUACCUAACCAGAAAGCCACGGCUAACUACGUGCCAGCAGCCGCGGUAAUACGUAGGUGGCAAGCGUUGUCCGGAAUUAUUGGGCGUAAAGGGCUCGCAGGCGGUUUCUUAAGUCUGAUGUGAAAGCCCCCGGCUCAACCGGGGAGGGUCAUUGGAAACUGGGAAACUUGAGUGCAGAAGAGGAGAGUGGAAUUCCACGUGUAGCGGUGAAAUGCGUAGAGAUGUGGAGGAACACCAGUGGCGAAGGCGACUCUCUGGUCUGUAACUGACGCUGAGGAGCGAAAGCGUGGGGAGCGAACAGGAUUAGAUACCCUGGUAGUCCACGCCGUACACGAUGAGUGCUAAGUGUUAGGGGGGUUUCCGCCCCUUAGUGCUGCAGCUAACGCAUUAAGCACUCCGCCCUGGGGGAGUACGGUCGCAAAGACUGAAACUCAAAAGGAUUUGACUGGGCCCCGCCACAGCGGU